CCCUAGUAACGGCGAGUGAAGCGGCAACAGCUCAAAUUUGAAAGCUGGCCUUUGGCCCGCAUUGUAAUUUGCAGAGGAUGAUUCGGGUGCGAUACCUGGCUAAGUCCCUUGGAACAGGGCGUCACAGAGGGUGAUAAUCCCGUAUGUGCUAGGCCGUCUAUCCCUUGUGAAUCUCCUUCGACGAGUCGAGUUGUUUGGGAAUGCAGCUCUAAAUGGGUGGUAAAUGCCAUCUAAAGCUAAAUACCGGCCAGAGACCGAUAGCGCACAAGUAGAGUGAUCGAAAGAUGAAAAGCACUUUGAAAAGAGAGUUAAAAAGUACGUGAAAUUGUUGAAAGGGAAGCGCUCGCAACCAGACUUGCCCGGGGGAUUCAGCCGUGCUUCUGUACGGUGUACUUUCCCUCGGUCAGGCCAGCAUCAGUUCGGGCAGUCGGAUAAAGGCUCCAGGAACGUAGCACCCUUCGGGGUGUGUUAUAGCCUGGGGUGUCAUACGGCUAGCCUGGACUGAGGACCGCGCAUUGCUAGGAUGCUGGCGUAAUGGUUGCCAGCGAC
rnacentral:rRNA from 1 species